CUCACCCUCACUUCCUCUUCUUGUAUCUCUUCUGCCUUCCUUGCUCUUCGCUCUUCUUGUCGUUCUCCUCCUCUUCUCCCUCCUCCUCUCUCUAGGUUUUUUUCGGGUACCGUGGUUGGGUCCGGUAGCAUAACUCUUUCUUUUAUUCUUUGCAUCGGUGGCAGGGCAGCUUGGAUCUCAGAACCAUAGAUUCCUUUCUGUUUAUUUAUUUAUUUUGAUGGAAGGUUGGAUCUGCGACUCUGAGGAUGUCUCACUCUUCUUUCUUCAUCCGAGAUAAGUUCUCGUUCAUUUUCUCAAUUUCCUUCGAUUUAUGACAUUUUUUUUUGCUAUUCCUUGCUUCUAUAUUCAUUUUUUACCAAGAGCUCUAAAGAUUCUACGAACAAUACAAUUUGAAGACACAAAAGGGUUUCAUCAUAGAUGUUGUUUAAGUCCAUGUAGUUUUGUUCUUGGGUUUCUGAAAACAAGAACAGAAAGCAAGAGGGCUAUGAUGAUUUUACCAGGGGACUAGGGCUUAAGCCCUUUCCAGAUGCAUUUUUAGGGAUACACGGCAUUUUGCUGUGCAUAUGGUACCUUAUCCUCUCCAUGAUUACUGACGCCGGGCAUACGUGAUGUAAAUAGCUUCGAUUUAGGUCUUCUGCGGUGUUGAAAUGGAAAACUUCAAAUGUCGCUGGAUGCAAUUCAUGGAGUCCGAGAUUUUUAAGGGGCUUUUGUCUAUGACUGUUAGAUUGAGCAAGCUGUUCGUAAGCAGCUCAUGUUCAGCUGAGCUUGAGCUGGAACUAAGCUUGGUUUGCUUGAGUUCAGCUCGAUUCAUUUUUGCAGGUUUGUUGGAAUAGGCAGGGAAGAAUGAGAUGCUCUGCUGUUUUGCAGGCAACCAUGGCAGCCAUUUUAUUAGAUCUGUUAUUUUGAGGCACUUGUUGCUUUCUUAUAAGGUCUUUAAGUCUUGAUAUAUCAGUUGUGAUGGUGAGUGGUUGAGACCGAGAUGAACUGAGGUCUCGGUUUAUCUUUUAGCCAAUAUGGUAAGUGGGGACAUCGGAAGAGAAUGAAGAUUUUCCAAGAUCUCAGCUGACAUUUUUAGACUGAGAUAUUGAAUUGUCAGCCGAUAUGGGAAAUAUGAAAUUAAAAACUAUACUUAAGCAUCGAUUUCUAAUUUCACUAGUUAAAAAAGCCUAUUUAGGGAAGUAAAAAGAUGACCGAAAAAUAUCAGCGAAUAUGAAUGUAUCGUAUCAGCUGAUAUCUGAUAUUUUAUCAGUUUAUAUCACCAGGGCGAGUUUUUUAUAUCUAUACUAUAUGUAGAAAUGAUAGUUUUGAAAAUCAGAGAAUAUCCUCUUGAUUUCUUGUCACAUUUUAUACUUGGAAACGUCUAAUUAUUUAAAAAAAUACGUUAAUUAUCCCACUGGUGAAUUGAUUGGAUUCUAUCACUUGGUCUCUUCUCUCUUCCCUUUAAGAUGCAUUGGAUGUGUCCGGUGGCUAGUACAUUGUAUCAAGGGGUGCCCGAUAUUUAUGCAGUCUGAGAUCUUGGCUGAGAUGAAAACCUUGCUUUCUUAAUCACGCAUUGUUCAGCAACAUGGACAGAUCUGAGCCUUUUUUUUAGGAAAAAAUUCUCCUAUGCCACUUAUGAAAUAGUUGGUAUUGCUUUUUAAAAAAAAAAGGAUUUGUGAUUUUUGGAGCAAAAAAGCACUUCAUAAAGGAAAACAGAAGUAUUUGAUAACAUUAUAUGGAAAGUGCUUUCAUGAGAAGAUAAAGUCAAAAAACACAUAUAGAAGAAGCUAGAAGGCUGAACUUUUGGUUUCUUCAUCUCUUUUUACAAACUAGAAGCAACAUCGAAGAGCAAGCACAUGCUUAAUGAGGCUUGUGGUAGAGGUUGGGAGGAUUUAGAGGCUGCCUUCUUUCCUUAGGUCAUGUUUCGUUUAUUGUGUCUUUGUUAGCUUUUUAGAGAAGGGCUAGGCCAUUGAUGGGGCGUGACAUUGAGCAGAUCAGAUUGAAACUAGUUUGAUAGCUGGUUUGGCUUGGUGCAAUGUCAAAGGGUUUUGGUUUAAAGGACCAAACCCUCAUGCCAUGUGGCUUAUUAGCAGUGCAGAGAAACUUUUUGAUAGAAAUAACACUACAGGGCUUGACCUUGGUAACAAAAAAGAAAUUGGAAAUGUUUUUGUAACUCAAUAAUGUAAAUCAAAAAGUCACUUAACUGGUGUGUUUUAUCCUCAUUGGUCCCUUUGAAUUGGCAUCAUGUAGUGCCUACCGCACCAUGAAGCAAAGUGAAUGGACUGCACUGUUGGAUCAUUUGCCAUAUGAUGGUUGUUUCAGUUCAUAGUGUUGGCGAGAUACAUGGUGGGGUGUGCUAUAAAGUAUCAAUGCCUUUUUGACACAUGGCAACGAGGCUUUUCUUGUGUUGUUAUCAAGUUGUUAAUAGAAGUUAGAAUCUAGUUUUAAACUCUUGAACAUGUUAGGAUUGAGUUGGAGUUAAUCAUGUAUGUAUCUAUGUUUUAAACUCUUUCAGCCAUGUAGUAAUGUUUAAUUGCAAAUGUAGAGACAAGAAGGAAAAGGAAAUACUGCACAUGUCAAGAAGGAUAAAUACAUGCAUGUAUAUGUGGGUGUAUGCAUGUGUGUAUGAUGUAUAUGUGUGUGUGUGUGUAUGUAUGCACACUAGUAUAUAUGUAAAGCUAGCUUAUCACAUUUCUUCCUGUUCUGAUUAUUUAAUACAUUUAAUUAUAAUGUUAUUGAUUUAUGUUUAUAGAAAUUGAAAUGAAGUUAAGGAUUAUAAAUUUAUGACAAUAAGCAUGUAAUCUAUACCCAGGCCUUGGAGAUUCAUAUGGAGAAAGAAUAAACAGAGUAGCUUCUCUGAUUUUUUGAAGUCAACUGUUUUAGCGUAGAUGCAAAUAUAUUCUCAAGAAGCUUAAGUUAUAGGAUAAUGGAGACAAAUAGCUUUAAGAUGAGAGACAGCAAAGCCAGACACACUAGUGCAAUUUUGGUCAUAUGUUUUGGCUUUAAAGGGGAAAACCAGUCAUAGAUGAGAGAUUGGAGACCUAAGAAGAUUUCAUAUUCAAUUCCUGGAGGCAUGUACAAAACUCAUUACCUGGAAAAUUCCAUGUAAUGUCAGGGUAAGCAGAGGCAUUCUGAAUGAGGACAGUGUUCUUUGUUGCUGAACUUUCUUUGCAUGCCCCUAGAUGGUUGCAAUGUCCAGAGUGUGAAUGCUCUAAAGCCUCAGAUGUAGGAAAUUCCAAUGAUCAGGAUUCAUGGCAGAUUUUUAUUUCUUUGAAUUUCAAUCAAUUCAGUCUUUGGCUGGAUCCUUGAGAUGUAAUGUAGUUUUGCAAGGAGGAAUUGAGUUGCAAGAUUCAUUUUUACUCAUGUUGGCAUGUCUAAAUUGGAUGUUGUGUUGUUGGACUAGCAAUCAUGUGCAACCAAGAUUUACCGUACCGAUCGGUACCAUACUGGUACCGAGCCGAUAUGUAGUCUCGUACCAUACAGACACUAGUUGUCUUAUACUGUACCAUGUACGGAUACUUGAGAUGGUACAUGUGUGGAGUCCAUUACCAAGACGGCUAUCCUUGGGUGCAGCUAUUACAUAAUUCACAUUAGACUUGUUAAAUAAGCAUGCCAGUUUUCUGCAGCUCAUAUCAAAAUAAGCAUGAGUUUGAGCUAUAAAUACUUUAAAUCUCAGCUUAAUAUUCGGCCUGCUUGAUUGCACUUCCCCAGAUGAUGGCAAACAAAUGAGCAAAACUGGGCCUCUUUUACCAACUCACAGUAUUCUUGGUUUGCUUUCUAGGUCCUGCUAGUCAAUAUGUUUCUUCUUCUUAGCUUUGUUUCGUUUUUUUUUUUUAAUUUUUAAGAUUCCUGUGUUAGUAAUAGGUCUGUGAGACAAUUGAUCUAUUUGUGAGCAGCUUGUAUUUGACUUGAAAUUUUGGGUUCAAUUUGUCUCACUCACUUUGUAACAAGGUAAGCGAGGUAAGCUAGAGCUUGACUUGGCUCACUCGAGCUCCGCUUGGUAUGGGGAAAAACAAGUUAUUACUGGAUAUUAUUUAUUAUUUAUAUGAAAAUCUUAUUUUCGUAUUUGUUUGUUGAAGGCUAACAUAGUUUAAUGAAAAAGAAUGUAAUUUCUUCUAUAAUACUGAGAUAUGAUGGUGGAGAUUAGCUAAAAGAACUAUAUGAAAGCCUUAAAAGGACUUACAGUCUUUCUAAAUCUGUUGAACAAACUGUUUGUGAGCAGCUCAAGUUUGGCUGGAAAUUAAAUGGGCUAGCUUGAACUUAGGUUGGUUGCAAAAUGAGCUGAGCUAGAGUUAGGCUUGGCUCACUUGAGGUUGACUUGUUUGCACCCCUAAUCAUUAAACCAUUUCUGUUCUAUUUUCAGCAGCAUGGCUAAGCUUGGAUAUUGAAACUUGGCUUUGUUAUUUUGAGGCCUGGAGGAACCAGUCUUCUCUUUGGAUUGCAUUGAUAUCAUGAUUUGUAACUUUCAAUGUUGCCAGAGUUGAUACUUGAUACCGUGUUGAUUUGUUAAGGAAAUGUAUAUUCUCAAACAUCCUUUAUUCUGGCAAGGCUUCUUGUGGUAUGUAAUUUGUUAUAUCCUUUUUGCCGAGAAGGAUUGCCUCCUCUUUCCAGCCAGUGGGUCCCCCAACAUUUUUCCUUCUGCUGCUUCAUUCAUUCAUCCAUUUUUGCUCCUUCCUCUUCUUGUCUGCGGUCAGAGGCUGUGAUGAUUUGCCUUUGCAUCUCCAUGAUGCUUCAAGUGCUGAAAUUGUAUGCUUACAUCUGCAAGAGCACCUAGAUUCUCUCUCUCUCUCUCUCUCUCUCUCUCUCUAUAUAUAUAUAUAUAUAUAUAUACAUACACAUAUACAUAUAUAUGGACAUACAUGCAUACAUACAUACAUACAUAAAUUCAUACGUAUGUGUGUUUGUGUAUGUGAAUCCACAUCGGUUGAAUUAGCCAUGCACAUCUUGCAUGCUGACUACCAUUUUGCCUUACUCUAACUGGUGUAGCAAAUUUGGAUGGCUUGCUAUUUUUUGCAGGCAACCAAUUGCAGCCUGUUAGACCCUUCUCAGUGUAUGAAAAUAGGCAAAGCUGAGCCUCUGAUUCUUCCUAUGAUUGACACUCUUUUGUUAUCUUUUUGUUCUUUUCUUGUGCUUUUUCAGUACUGUUAUAUUUUUUCACAUGUUUUGAAUUUGCCAUGGACAUCGUGCAUAAUGACUGCUAGUUUGCCUUGCUCUAACUUGUGUGGCAAGAUUGGAUGGCUUGCUGUUUUGCAGGCAACGUUGCAGCCUGUUAGAGACCCUUCUCAGUGUAUGAAAAUGAGCAAACUUGGAGCCUCCAGUUCUUCUAAAUUUGACACUUUUGUUAUCCUUCUGCUGUGUUUUUUCCAGUACCUUCCUCGUUUUUCCUUUUUUCCUCCUCUUCAGGAUUUAUGCUUCUAACUAUUCCUAUUCUUCCUCUCUUAUACUCUGUUAUUCUUGAAUGUGCAUAUGUUACAUUAUUUCCUUGCAGGACUAGAUUGUUCAUACAUUGUUCUGUUACUUAAGUUUUAUUUUUUAAAUUCUGAGUCCAGGUUAAGAAUCUACUGUGCCUUUUCUUUUUUACUUUUUUCCUGCUUGGCCUCCUUUAUGCAUAGCUGGAGGGGCAUCCAUGAACAGGACACUUCUAGUCACUGAUAACAGGCAUGUCUACUGUAGGAUUAUCCAAGUCUAAUUUUCUCAUUACAAACAAUGCGUUUAAAUAGGUGUUUUGAAUCUUUGGAGACUUUUGGAAAGUUACAAGUUGGAUGCUAGAUAAUACUCUUCUCGUUUCCAGGUUUUUCAAAUGUUUAGUUUUCUUGCCCUGUAUCAUUGGCGGUGUCUCAUCUAAAAAUUCUGCUGUAAUAUACAUGUAUUUAUCUGUGUUAUAAGUGUAUUUUUUUGUAGAAUUUGGCAAGAUAAAUACGAAAGGCUCUUCCUUUGGGUGCAAAAUGUAACAUGAUUACAUACUCGUUUUGUUAUGUAGAAGGAAACCUGGUCAUGCUUUAUCUGGUCAAACUAUCAUGCUAUUAGGAAUUCUAAGAUAGAAAGCUCCACUUCCUGGAUACCUCAAGGUGGAAAGUCCAGGGGCGUUAUUGUUCAUAUAAAACGGGCAUCAGCGAACAGCAUUCAUCAAAAACCAAGAUGUGAUGUAUCAAACACAUGAAUCGGUUCCCGGAAGUGAUAAUUUAUAUGACAUCUGUGCACAUUGAUGUCUGUGUCACUGAUACCAGCAUCCUGUAUUGAACAUUUGCAGCCCAUGCCUAAGCCUUUGCGCGCGCUCUCUCUCUCUCUAAUGCCACAUUGGCUACCCUAGUCAUGUUUUUUUUUUGUCUUUUUCUUAAUUAGUGUGAUAUAAUGGUUGACUUAUUGGGUCUUCCUCAAUGUUCUGACUAUUUAUGGAAUUUGAGAAGUAGAUAAAUAGUCGUAUGCUUCUCAAAAGAAA